rnacentral:tRNA from 1 species
GGGGAUUAGCCCGGUUAGUUCAGGGCAUCCCGAAUUCACUUCGGGAGGGUCGGGGGUUCGAAUCCCUCAUUGCCCA